rnacentral:lncRNA from 1 species
AGCUGACUCUUGGUAAGUUGACAGGGCUGUUGAAUUACUUCUCUGUAGUAUGUUCAAAUGGUGUGUUACGUAAGUUUGAUUUAUAAGUGUUAAUUUUCAUAGUAUUUAUUUUAGUAUUGCUUACUAAAAUCGGUCAUCUUUUUUAGAUAUAAAAUUAUGUUUACCUAGGAACUAUAAUAAAUAUUCUUUAUCAUAUAUUCAGCCACGUUGGUAAAAAAAAAAUACCCCCACAAAGGAACUGUAAGAGGCAUCGAUAAUAAGCACAAGGCAAGAAAUAAACUCCCUUCUAAUUAUAACUGAUAUAUUUUUCCUUUCUGAAAACCUUAUUACUUCUUAUUAAAAUAUUUUAUUUUAAGAAAGGAGUGAGAAGGACUGAGGGGGAUGCUCAGGAGACAGUGCCUAACAGGUACAAGACUUUGGUUUAACUGUCAGUAAAAGAACGAAGGAAAGAGACAUGGCAACCAAUCCAUGCUGAGCAGAAUCCUGCUGGGAUCUGUCAGGUGGAGUGAGCUGAGACCUGUCAGGAGCUCUGAGGAGCUGCACUCCAUUCUCCUGGGUUCAACUCUCCUGUCUACAAGUCUGACUCAGCAAAUCAUUACUGGUAUUUCUGAAAGUUGUAGUUCUUACUGUGAAACAGUUGAUCCAGAUAGUGUCUUUCAGUUAUAGGUAGCUCUUGGUACUUCAACCUACAAAAGUAAAUCGCUUGGUGUUUUUCCCCAGCUAGUGAUGACCCCACAGCCAGGCUCCAGUGACAUGCUGUGGAACAAGGUGGGAGCCACUUCUUUUACUGGCCUCAUAUACAGUAUAGCACUAUACAAAUUCCAUCUAGUUAUAAAAGUAGUUUUUUUAAAACAAAUUUUUAUUAGAUAUUUUCAUCAUUUACAUUUCAAAUGCUAUUCCCAAACUCUCCAAAACCCCCCAUCCUACUCCCCAACCCACUCAUUCCCACUUCCUGGCCCUGGCAUUCCCCUGUACUAGAACAUAUGAUCUUUGCAAGACCAAGGGCCUCUCCUCUCAAUGAUGGCCACCAACUUCUGCUACAUAUGCAGCUAGAAACAUGAGCUCUGGAGGGUACUGGUUAGUUUAUUUUAUUGUUCCACCUAUAGGGUUGCAGACCCCUUCAGCUCAUUGGGUACUUUCUCUAGCUCCUCCAUUGGGGGUCCUGUAUUCCAUCCAAUAGAUGACUGUGAGCAUCCACUUCUGUAUUUGCCAGGCAUUGGCAUAGCCUCACAAGAGAGAGCUAUAUCAGGGUCCUGUCAGCAAAAUCUUGCUGGCAUAUGCAAUAGUGUCUGUGUUUGGUGGCUGAUUAUGGGAUGGAUCCCUGGAUGGGGCAGUCUCUGGAUGGUCCUUCCUUCUGUCUCAGCUCCAAGUUUUGUCUCUAAGAACAAAAGAAUUCUAAGGAGAAACAAAGUUUCCACACUUUGGUCUUCAUUCUUCUUGAGUUUCAUGUGUUUUGCAGAUUGUAUCUUGGGUAUUCUAGGUUUGUGGGAUAAUAUCCACUUAUCAGUGAGUGCAUAUCAUGUGAGUUCUUUUGUGAUUGGGUUACCUCACUAAGGAUGAUAUCCUCCAGAUCCAUUCAUCUGCCUAAGAAUUUCAUAAAUUCAUUGUUUUUAAUAGGUGAGUACUACUCCACUGUGUAAAUGUACCACAUUUUCUGUAUCCAUUCCUCUGUUGAGGGACAUAUGGGUUCUUUCCAGCUUCUGGCUAUUACAAAUAAGGCUGCUAUGAACAUAGUGGAGCUGUGUCUUUAUUACCAGUUGGAACAUCUUCUGGGGAUAUGCCCAGGAGAGGCAUUGCUGGAUCUUCCAGUAGUAGUAUGUCCAAUUUUCUGAGGAACCGCCAGACUGACUUUCAGAGUGGUUGUACAAGCUUGCAAUCCUACCAGCAAUGGAGGAGUGUUCAUCUUUCUCCACAUCCUUGCCAGCAUCUGCUGUCAUCUGAAUUCUUUAUUUUAGCCCUUCUCACUGGUGUGAAGUGGAAUCUCAGUGUUGUUUUGAUUUGCCUUUCUCUGAUGAUUAAGGAUGUUGAACAUUUUUUCAGGUGCUUCUCAGUCAUUUGGUAUUCCUCAGUUGAGAAUUCUUUGUUUAGCUCUGUGCCCCAUUUUUUAAUGGGGUUAUUUGAUUUUCUGGAGUCCAGCUUCUUGAGUUCUUUGUAUAUAUUGAAUAUUAGUCCCCUAUCUGAUUUAGGAUUGGUAAAGAUCCUUUUCCAAUCUGUUGGUGGCCUUUUUGUCUUAUUGCCUUACAUAAGCUUUGCAAACAAAUAAAAAUAGUCUUAAUAAAAUGCUAAUUAUGAGUAAAUUAGUUCAUCUCAUUUAUCUUUAGUCCAAGAGUCGGCAAGAACUUUUAUAAAUGGUCCAUAGAGUGAGUAUUAUUCACUUUCAUAUAUAGUAAAGGGAUGGAAGACUAUCUGUAUUGAUCAGUUGUGAGCUUGACACUGGAGAGAUGGAGAUCAAGGCCUGGAGUUUGUGUAGGGGUAUGGCCAUCUGCACCAACACCCAUGGCAGUAGUGAAAUACCCAGCCUUGCCACCACCCAGCCAUGACACCUCUGGCUACUACAUACUGACUUUGAACUUUAGCAACAGUAAUAUUGUACAAUGGCAUAAUACUGUUAUAAUUUACAAAUUCUAUAAUUCUUUGAGUGGCAUGAGAACAAUGCUGCCUAAAAAUUGACCAUCAGCAUCAUUUUAGCCUCAAAAUAAUCCUUGUGAAGGAGAAUGUCAAUAUGAUGCUCAAUGGUGCAUGAGGUCAGAAGAGGGCCCUGUAUCCUUAAUGUGAUAUGGGGAGGAGUCUAGAAACUCUGGAGAUCAAAACCUAGAGAUGUCCAAAUCCAAAUCCCUUAGAAGAUAUUGUCUUAGUCAGGGUUUCUAUUCCUCCACAAAACAUUAUGGCCAAGAAGCAAGUUGGGGAGGGAAGAGUUUAUUCAGCUUAUACUUCCAUAUUGCUGUUCAUCACCAAAGGAAGUCAGGACAGGAACUCACACAGGGCAGGAACUUGGAGGCAGGAGCUGAUGCAGAGGCCAUGGAGGGAUGUUACUUACUGGAUUGCUUCCUCUGGCUUGCUCAGCCUGCUUUCUUAUAGAACCCCGGCCCUCCUAUCUAGGGAUGACACCAUCCAAAAUGGGCCCUCCCCUACUAAUAACUAAUUGAAAAAAAUGCCUUACAGCUGAAUCUCAUGAAGGCAUUUCCUCAAGGGAGGCUCCUUUCUCUAUGAUAACUCCAGCUUGUGUCAAGUUGACACACAAAACCAGGCAGUACAGAGAUGGUGAGAUAAGGGUUUGCUCAGUGAUGGAGAAAAUAUUUGCCUAACAUGUGAGGAGACUUAAGUUCAGUCUCCACUGCCAUUUUUUUGUUUUAAAAGAAAAGUGAGUUUGGUAUGCACAGACUUUCACACAUGCACACAGGCACAUGGGCACACACACACACACACAUUCACUUACCCAGCAAGGGCUGAGCCCUCAUGCAGCGUGCCUUACACACUAGAAGUUGUAGCUUUGGUCCUCAGCUUG